rnacentral:rRNA from 1 species
UGACCUCGGAUCAGGUAGAAUGCCCGCUGAACUUAAGCAUAUCAAUAAGCCGGAGGAA